rnacentral:rRNA from 1 species
AUUGAACGCUGGCGGCAUGCCUUACACAUGCAAGUCGAACGGCAGCGGACCUUCGGGUGCCGGCGAGUGGCGAACGGGUGAGUAAUAUAUCGGAACGUACCUUUCAGUGGGGGAUAACGUAGCGAAAGUUACGCUAAUACCGCAUAUUCUGUGAGCAGGAAAGCAGGGGAUCGCAAGACCUUGCGCUGAUUGAGCGGCCGAUAUCAGAUUAGCUAGUUGGUGAGGUAAAGGCUCACCAAGGCGACGAUCUGUAGCGGGUCUGAGAGGAUGAUCCGCCACACUGGGACUGAGACACGGUCCAGACUCCUACGGGAGGCAGCAGUGGGGAAUUUUGGACAAUGGGCGCAAGCCUGAUCCAGCCAUGCCGCGUGAGUGAAGAAGGCCU